AUUGAACGCUGGCGGAAUGCUUUACACAUGCAAGUCGAACGGCAGCAUAGGUGCUUGCACCUGAUGGCGAGUGGCGAACGGGUGAGUAAUACAUCGGAACGUGCCCGGUCGUGGGGGAUAACGUAGCGAAAGUUACGCUAAUACCGCAUACGAUCUACGGAUGAAAGCGGGGGACCGUAAGGCCUCGCGCGAUUGGAGCGGCCGAUGUUAGAUUAGGUAGUUGGUGGGGUAAAGGCUCACCAAGCCGACGAUCUAUAGCUGGUCUGAGAGGAUGAUCAGCCACACUGGGACUGAGACACGGCCCAGACUCCUACGGGAGGCAGCAGUGGGGAAUUUUGGACAAUGGGCGCAAGCCUGAUCCAGCCAUUCCGCGUGCAGGACGAAGGCCUUCGGGUUGUAAACUGCUUUUGUACAGAACGAAAAGCUCUGGGUUAAUACCCUGGGGUCAUGACGGUACUGUAAGAAUAAGCACCGGCUAACUACGUAGG
rnacentral:rRNA from 1 species